rnacentral:rRNA from 1 species
AAUAUUGCGCAAUGGGGGGAACCCUGACGCAGCAACGCCGCGUGAGUGACGAAGGUUUUCGGAUCGUACAGCUCUGUCAUCGGGGACGAAGAAGUUACGGUACCCGAGGAGGAAGCCGCGGCUAACUACGUGCCAGCAGCCGCGGUAAUACGUAGGGGGCGAGCGUUGUCCGGAAUUACUGGGCGUAAAGGGUGCGUAGGCGGCCAAUUAAGUCAGAUGUGAAAUACCACGGCUUAACCGUGGGGGUGCAUUUGAAACUGUUUGGCUUGAGUGCAGGAGAGGAAAGCGGAAUUCCUAGUGUAGCGGUGAAAUGCGUAAAGAUUAGGAGGAAUACCAGUGGCGAAGGCGGCUUGCUGGGCUUUUACUGACGCUGAGGCUCGAAAGUGUGGGGAGCAAACA